UACGAAGGGUGCAAGCGUUACUCGGAAUUAUUGGGCGUAAAGAGCGUGUAGGCGGUCCGGUAAGUCAGCUGUGAAAGUCAAGGGCUCAACCCUUGAAUGCCGGUUGAUACUGUCGGGCUAGAGUCCGGAAGAGGCGAGUGGAAUUCCCGGUGUAGCGGUGAAAUGCGCAGAUAUCGGGAGGAACACCAAUGGCGAAGGCAGCUCGCUGGGACGGUACUGACGCUGAGACGCGAAAGCGUGGGGAGCAAACAGG
rnacentral:rRNA from 1 species